GGAAAACAGCAUCCUAGAUGGAGCUUUACAGAGGGAAGGGAGCAGCCAACACCUCUACACUGGCUCCCAUUAAAUACCAGCUCAUUUAAACAUAUCCCGUGGUGCCCUCCACAUCUGGAUUGAACUACAGCUGCCUGGUGUCGGCUUGCUGAAAGGACUGGACUAUAGCUGUCGGUUAGCGCCUGGUGUCUGCCUGCCUAGAGGACUGACUGGUCUGCAGCUGCUGAAUCAUAUUUGAUGUUUGCUAUGGGACUGAACUGCUGCCCAAGAAGAUCAAGCUGAACAGAAACUGGGAACAGAAGAACGGAGCUUGCAAGUUGGCAAUGAGCCCAACCCAGCAUCUUACCAGGUGGAGUUAAGUGGAAGCCCCCUUUAUCUCUACACCUUUGCCCUUUGGCCACAAAAAGAAAACCUGAUUCUGUGACUACUUGUCUUUUGGAUGCUUUGAGGCAGAGUGACUGUGGGGACUUUCAGUGGCACCUCUUGUCUUGCCAUGUUCCCAAGCAUGGAAACCCACUGUAGACCUUAGUCUGGAUGCACAACGGAUGUGGGGGACACAUUAGCUCUCCCAUUUCCAUUCUUUUCAUUAAUGUUUAAUUGCACAACACCAGAGGCAGACUAUGUACCUAGCUCCGAAACCUUGUCACCUCUAUUAAUUAAAACAGGCUUAUGGAAUAUGGAA
rnacentral:lncRNA from 1 species